rnacentral:rRNA from 1 species
UACAGAGGUGGCAAGCGUUGUUCGGAAUUACUGGGCGUAAAGGGCGCGUAGGCGGCCCGUCAAGUCCCGUGUGAAAGCCCCCGGCUCAACCGGGGAACUGCACGGGAAACUAGCAGGCUUGAGUUCGGGAGAGGGAAGCGGAAUUUCGGGUGUAGCGGUGAAAUGCGUAGAUAUCUGGAGGAACACCGGUGGCGAAGGCGGCAUCCUGGACCGGUAUUGACGCUGAGGCGCGAAAGCUAGGGGAGCAAACGGG